UCAAACAUGGAAUUAAAACUACCCUGAGCUACUAUUUCUCAUCUAACAAAUUGGAAAAAUUUACAAGUUCAACCAUUUAGUCUAUUGGCAAGGCUGCAGGAAAAAAUCUUGCUAAUGGGAGUUCAGAAUGGUACAGCUUUUUUGGAGGGGAAUUUGGCAUUAUCUAAUUACAUAUUUAUUAAAGGAUAAAUAUGGUGAAGCAGUCAUCUUCGUUGAGAAACUUUCAAGAAUAUCAGAAAACAUGUACACAGUAAUUCACUAGGCUAUAACGUGAAAUAGCUAAGCACAGAAAACAACCUACAUGCCGAACCAUAGAAAAUGGCUGAAUAAAUUAUGGUAGACCCACAUAAUGGAAUAGAUGCAGCUAUAAAAAGGAAUGAAGAUGUUCCAAUAACAGUGAUUGUCAACAUUUAUCAUUAAGUGAACGAAGGAAGGGUUGCCAGCAGUGAGUGUCCCUAUGGCCCUCUCCAACCAAGGGUUGCCAAUAGGACUGCAGUUUAUUGGACGUGCAUUUUGUGACCAGCAGCUUCUUACAGUUGCCAAAUGGUUUGAAAAACAAGUACAGUUUCCUGUUAUUCAACUUCAAGAAAUAAUGGGUGAUUGUUCAUCAGUCUUUGAAAAUGACUUAGCUUCUGUUUCUCUAAAACAGUAGUGACAAGUAUAUCAUGCAAACUAAAAUGACUUAAAGAUUUUUAUAUUCUAGAAAAGUCAAAUGAUCUUGCUAAGCUCUUGCACUUUGGUUCAUUGUCAACAUACUCAUUCCUUGGAACCAUUGUCUAAAAUUCUUGUAAUAUAGUUAACUAUAUGUAAUCUGCCAGCAUUUAUUAAGCAUCUGCUAAAUGCAGAGUACAGGAUUUCUACUGUAACACAAGACACAUGUUCCUGAAAAACGAUGCAUUUUUCAAAAAUGUCCAUUAAAAACAACAGCUUAUUUACUUUA